CAGCAGCCGCGGUAAUUCCAGCUCCAAUAGCGUAUAUUAAAGUUGUUGCAGUUAAAAAGCUCGUAGUUGAACCUUGGGCCUGGCUGGCCGGUCCGCCUCACCGCGUGUACUGGUCCGGCCGGGCCUUUCCUUCUGGGGAGCCGCAUGCCCUUCACUGGGCGUGUCGGGGAACCAGGACUUUUACUUUGAAAAAAUUAGAGUGUUCAAAGCAGGCCUUUGCUCGAAUACAUUAGCAUGGAAUAAUAGAAUAGGACGUCGCGGUCCUAUUUUGUUGGUUUCUAGGACCGCCGUAAUGAUUAAUAGGGAUAGUCGGGGGCAUCCGUAUUCAAUUGUCAGAGGUGAAAUUCUUGGAUUUAUUGAAGACGAACUACUGCGAAAGCAUUUGCCAAGGAUGUUUUCAUUAAUCAGUGAACGAAAGUUAGGGGAUCGAAGACGAUCAGAUACCGUCGUAGUCUUAACCAUAAACUAUGCCGACUAGGGAUCGGUGGAUGUUUCUAUAUUGACUCCAUCGGCACCUUACGAGAAAUCAAAGUUUUUGGGUUCUGGGGGGAGUAUGGUCGCAA
rnacentral:rRNA from 1 species